AUUGAACGCUGGCGGCAUGCCUUACACAUGCAAGUCGAACGGCAGCGGGGGAGAAGCUUGCUUUUCCUGCCGGCGAGUGGCGAACGGGUGAGUAAUACAUCGGAACGUGCCCUGUAGUGGGGGAUAACUAGUCGAAAGAUUAGCUAAUACCGCAUACGACCUGAGGGUGAAAGUGGGGGACCGCAAGGCCUCAUGCUAUAGGAGCGGCCGAUGUCUGAUUAGCUAGUUGGUGGGGUAAAGGCCUACCAAGGCGACGACCAGUAGCUGGUCUGAGAGGACGAUCAGCCACACUGGGACUGAGACACGGCCCAGACUCCUACGGGAGGCAGCAGUGGGGAAUUUUGGACAAUGGGCGAAAGCCUGAUCCAGCAAUGCCGCGUGUGUGAAGAAGGCCUUCGGGUUGUAAAGCACUUUUGUCCGGAAAGAAAUGGCUCUGGUUAAUACCUGGGGUCGAUGACGGUACCGGAAGAAUAAGGACCGGCUAACUACGUGCCAGCAGCCGCAGUAACAC
rnacentral:rRNA from 1 species